rnacentral:rRNA from 1 species
ACAAUGAAGAGUUUGAUCCUGGCUCAGGAUGAACGCUAGCUACAGGCUUAACACAUGCAAGUCGAGGGGCAGCAUUUCAGUUUGCUUGCAAACUGGAGAUGGCGACCGGCGCACGGGUGAGUAACACGUAUCCAACCUGCCGAUAACUCGGGGAUAGCCUUUCGAAAGAAAGAUUAAUACCCGAUGGCAUAAUUAGACCGCAUGGUCUUAUUAUUAAAGAAUUUCGGUUAUCGAUGGGGAUGCGUUCCAUUAGGCAGUUGGUGAGGUAACGGCUCACCAAACCUUCGAUGGAUAGGGGUUCUGAGAGGAAGGUCCCCCACAUUGGAACUGAGACACGGUCCAAACUCCUACGGGAGGCAGCAGUGAGGAAUAUUGGUCAAUGGGCGCAGGCCUGAACCAGCCAAGUAGCGUGAAGGAUGACUGCCCUAUGGGUUGUAAACUUCUUUUAUAUGGGAAUAAAGUUUUCCACGUGUGGAAUUUUGUAUGUACCAUAUGAAUAAGGAUCGGCUAACUCCGUGCCAGCAGCCGCGGUAAUACGGAGGAUCCGAGCGUUAUCCGGAUUUAUUGGGUUUAAAGGGAGCGUAGGUGGACAGUUAAGUCAGUUGUGAAAGUUUGCGGCUCAACCGUAAAAUUGCAGUUGAUACUGGCUGUCUUGAGUACAGUAGAGGUGGGCGGAAUUCGUGGUGUAGCGGUGAAAUGCUUAGAUAUCACGAAGAACUCCGAUUGCGAAGGCAGCUCACUGGACUGCAACUGACACUGAUGCUCGAAAGUGUGGGUAUCAAACAGGAUUAGAUACCCUGGUAGUCCACACAGUAAACGAUGAAUACUCGCUGUUUGCGAUAUACAGUAAGCGGCCAAGCGAAAGCAUUAAGUAUUCCACCUGGGGAGUACGCCGGCAACGGUGAAACUCAAAGGAAUUGACGGGGGCCCGCACAAGCGGAGGAACAUGUGGUUUAAUUCGAUGAUACGCGAGGAACCUUACCCGGGCUUAAAUUGCAUUUGAAUAUAUUGGAAACAGUAUAGCCGUAAGGCAAAUGUGAAGGUGCUGCAUGGUUGUCGUCAGCUCGUGCCGUGAGGUGUCGGCUUAAGUGCCAUAACGAGCGCAACCCUUAUCUUUAGUUACUAACAGGUCAUGCUGAGGACUCUAGAGAGACUGCCGUCGUAAGAUGUGAGGAAGGUGGGGAUGACGUCAAAUCAGCACGGCCCUUACGUCCGGGGCUACACACGUGUUACAAUGGGGGGUACAGAAGGCAGCUACCUGGUGACAGGAUGCUAAUCCCAAAAGCCUCUCUCAGUUCGGAUCGAAGUCUGCAACCCGACUUCGUGAAGCUGGAUUCGCUAGUAAUCGCGCAUCAGCCAUGGCGCGGUGAAUACGUUCCCGGGCCUUGUACACACCGCCCGUCAAGCCAUGAAAGCCGGGGGUACCUGAAGUACGUAACCGCAAGGAGCGUCCUAGGGUAAAACUGGUAAUUGGGGCUAAGUCGUAACAAGGUAGCCGUACCGGAAGGUGCGGCUGGAACACCUCCUUU